rfam:Camelus ferus unplaced genomic scaffold scaffold2539, whole genome shotgun sequence.
GAGGGUAUAGUUCAGUGGUAGAGCGUGUGUUUAGCAUGCACGAGGUCCUGGGUUCAAUCCCCAGUAUCUACA